rnacentral:rRNA from 1 species
UACGAAGGGGGCUAGCGUUGUUCGGAAUUACUGGGCGUAAAGCGCGUGUAGGCGGUUAUCCAAGUCGGGUGUGAAAGCCUUGAGCUCAACUCAAGAAAUGCAUUCGGUACUGGGUGACUAGAGGGCCGGAGAGGAUAGUGGAAUUCCCAGUGUAGUGGUGAAAUACGUAGAGAUUGGGAAGAACACCAGUGGCGACGGCGGCUAUCUGGACGGUUUCUGACGCUAAGACGCGAAAGCGUGGGGAGCAAACAGG